AGUAACACAACGUUCCCAAACAAUUACUCUUUUUUGUUUUUGUUUUUGUUUUUCACAGUCAGAUUCACCCAACCAAAACAAAAAGUAAUCUCAAUAGAGCAUGUUUGCUUCAGAAUGAGGAGAAACUGGGAGCCACUUACUCUUCUGAACCCUGCUAUUAUUCUAACAGGAACCCAACCGUCAUCAUUCAUCUGACCCCUCAAGUGUUCAUCUUUGCUUAAGUUAUCAGCACUG